UGGGGAAUAUUGCACAAUGGGCGCAAGCCUGAUGCAGCCAUGCCGCGUGUGUGAAGAAGGCCUUCGGGUUGUAAAUCACUUUCAGCGGGGAGGAAGGCGUUAAGGUUAAUAACCUUGGCGAUUGACGUUACCCGCAGAAGAAGCACCGGCUAACUCCGUGCCAGCAGCCGCGGUAAUACGGAGGGUGCAAGCGUUAAUCGGAAUUACUGGGCGUAAAGCGCACGCAGGCGGUCUGUCAAGUCGGAUGUGAAAUCCCCGGGCUCAACCUGGGAACUGCAUUCGAAACUGGCAGGCUAGAGUCUUGUAGAGGGGGGUAGAAUUCCAGGUGUAGCGAUGAAAUGCGUAGAGAUCUGGAGAAAUACCGGUGGCGAAGGCGGCCCCCUGGACAAAGACUGACGCUCAGGUGCGAAAGAGUGGGGAGCAAACAGG
rnacentral:rRNA from 1 species